GCCUAACACAUGCAAGUCGAACGGUAACAGGAAGCAGCUUGCUGCUUCGCUGACGAGUGGCGGACGGGUGAGUAAUGUCUCGGAAGCUGCCUGAUGGAGGGGGAUAACUACUGGAAACGGUAGCUAAUACCGCAUAAUGUCGCAAGACCAAAGAGGGGGACCUUCGGGCCUCUUGCCAUCGGAUGUGCCCAGAUGGGAUUAGCUUGUUGGUGGGGUAACGGCUCACCAAGGCGACGAUCCCUAGCUGGUCUGAGAGGAUGACCAGCCACACUGGAACUGAGACACGGUCCAGACUCCUACGGGAGGCAGCAGUGGGGAAUAUUGCACAAUGGGCGCAAGCCUGAUGCAGCCAUGCCGCGUGUAUGGAGAAGGCCUUCGGGUUGUAAAGUACUUUCAGCGGGGAGGAAGGGAGUAAAGUUAAUACCUUUGCUCAUUGACGUUACCCGCAGAAGAAGCACCGGCUAACUCCGUGCCAGCAGCCGCGGUAAUACGGAGGGUGCAAGCGUUAAUCGGAAUUACUGGGCGUAAAGCGCACGCAGGCGGUUUGUUAAGUCAGAUGUGAAAUCCCCGGGCUCAACCUGGGAACUGCAUCUGAUACUGGCAAGCUUGAGUCUCGUAGAGGGGGGUAGAAUUCCAGGUGUAGCGGUGAAAUGCGUAGAGAUCUGGAGGAAUACCGGUGGCGAAGGCG
rnacentral:rRNA from 1 species